CUUCCUUCGGGGAAGAAAGGCCCCGGGCCAUGGUUCCUCAUAAAGCUUUGUUUAAUUUUCUCUUGCUAUUCUGUCUCAUGUGAAUUUAAUUCGUUCUCCGGCCAGACGAACCCCCAUUUGGGAAGAGGAAAUGUCUUCCUCCCCUACAGUACCAUUUGCAAAACGUGCUUGGUUUAAUCUCUGCAAACCAGAGAGUUUAACUGAUUUGUGGGUGAUCACACAGCUAGGAAGGUAGAGAGCCAGGGCUCUUCUGACCCCUGACUGCAUGGAGGAGGAAAGAGAAUGCCUCCAAGGAUCACCAGAUAACCAACCCCCAGCUGCUGUUGACGCCCAGAAGUCAGAUUGCCCAGGGGCUUAUUGGGAGUGAAAGAAACACGGAUUACCCCUUUGUUUCUCGAAACUCCUCCUGCCACACCCCUUAGCUCUAUAAAACCCAUGCUUUCUUCUCUUGCGGAUUUGAGAGAACCCAUGCUUCCGCCUUCUUGUCUUGGCUGAUUCAAAUAAAGCUUUCUUCAUCUCCAAGCACCAAUGUCUCAGCGUUGGGCUUAUUGUGCAUUGGG
rnacentral:lncRNA from 1 species